rnacentral:rRNA from 1 species
UACGUAGGGUGCAAACGUUGCUCGGAAUCACUGGGCGUAAAGGGCGUGUAGGCUGGAAUGUAAGUCGGGCGUGAAAGCCCCAGGCUCAACCUGGGAACUGCACUCGAAACUGCGUUUCUUGAGUAUCGGAGAGGAAAGCGGAAUACCUGGUGUAGAGGUGAAAUUCGUAGAUAUCAGGUGGAACACCAGUGGCGAAGGCGGCUUUCUGGACGAUUACUGACGCUGAGACGCGAAAGCGUGGGGAGCAAACAGG